rnacentral:piRNA from 1 species
UUUUCGACCUGAAUGUUUGGU